GAAGGCUUGGGCCCUCGCGAUUGCUGUAGCCUGGGCUGACUCUUCUCGCCCGGUUACUGCCACCUGGUUCUAAAUCAGCACGUCCCCAAAGUGCCUGAGUAUAAGAAGUGUCUGCCAGGCUGAUUGAAAGUGUAGAAUAACAGGUGAAGAAACUGAGGCACAGAGUUAGUUUAUUGCCCUAAUCACAAAGCUACAGGUGGAAGAGGAGGGUUUGAACUCAGAUUUCCUGAAUCCAAAUCUUGGUGAUGUUUAACCUAAGGUGUACUACAUCCUGAGAGCUAGCUGUCCUCAUACUCUAGGUGCCCACUUCUUCUCCCUGGAGGCAGCCAGUACUGUUAGUUGCCUGUAUAUUCCUCCAGAGAUGUUUUGUGCACAUAAAGAGAAAUCUCAUUGACCUAAGAUGGUUGGAGAAGGCCUUUCUGGAGAAUGAACAUUUUUGAUCAGAGUGGAGCAGAGAACAAGAUCCAGUUGGCUUGGCCAAACAUGGCACCAGGGAGCCGUGGAAGCCUCCUCAGCUGGGGAGUGAUGUUUCUGCGUCAUCAAACAUUUAUGACAAGACGGAGCAACACAGAGUGACUUGGAAUGAAUUCAACAGACCAAUAUUUUGAAAUCAGGGUGGCUUGACUUCCUUUAGAGAGAACAGUUCUCCCAUCUCUUCGAGGCAUCAUCCAGAGGAGGAAGAACAGCAAGGUUCCCAGUCCCAGAGAGCACAACUCUGGUCACACGUUCCAACUCACCGACCAUGAAGUAGCUUAACAGUCUUCUUCGAAUAAGUGAGAAGGAAGCUCCAUGUACCGAAGAGAGAGCCCUCCAGACCUGUGGUCAGACCUCGUUUCUCCUAUGACCUUAGGAGUCCCCGCAGUAAAAGUGUUUCUGUAGCUGGGAGUUCACAGCUGCCGUAAAACCUAAAUGUCAGCAACUCCCGUGGUGUUGGAUCACGUGCUACCCCGCUUACAGCCAGCAGCCCUGACAUCGGGGCCAAGCAUCUCAGCAUGCAGAAGUUUCUGGGCCAGGGAUCAACCUGGUGCCACAGCAGGAACCAGAGUACAGCAGUGACAACUCCAGAGCCACCAGGAAACGCCCACAUUAACCUUUAAUUGGAGAAGUAAUUCACAGAAUACAUGCUCCCUGUAAAAGAUUUUAAAAGGUAAGCCCUAUAUCUCUUUUCACCACCUCUUCCAGUCUCCGAACCCCUCAGAGGCAGCCAGUUUUCAGUUCAGCAAAAGCUCUCAAUCAGUGCAUUUAAUUAGUUAUCCGUGUGCCUCUAUAAAAUGUGUAUCUGUGACCUAAGGAAAACUUGCAUAUUUCUGUACCUAUAGAAAAUGUGGAGGUUUUGUGUGGAUUUUUUUUUUUUACAUGAGUGAUAUCAUAUGGUACAUGUCUUAAUGUGAUUUUUUUCCCACAGCUGUCUGUCUCAUAGCCUUUAUUGUGUAUAUAUAAAUCUACCUUACUCUUCCAAAUGUUCCAUACAUUUCCAUGGGAUAGAUUUGGCCUAGUUUUGACUGCCAUUCUUCUAUGUACAAAUAUUUGGGUUGAUUUUUUGAUUUUUUAUUUCAUUUUUACAAAAAGUGCCAUGGUGCACAUUCUUUUACAGAAGCAAGUGUCUGAACAGAUUUUUUUUUUCCUCUAUAGAAGAAAUCAAGAAAUAGAAUUUCUGGGUCAUGGGACAUACACUGUUUUUAUUUUAAUGGAUAUUGCCAAAUUGCUGAGGUCAUUUUGAGUUUACUUUUAUCUUCUAGAUAAAAUCUCCUAGAAUCUUCUAGAAUGCCUUAGAUUGGAGCUUAAUUAUCAAAAUGUAAUUCUGAAGUAUUCUAUCAGGUAAGAUGGCAGGAAUGUGUAUUCAUUCCUUAGCCCAUCCGUCUCUGUCUUCUGAGGAUCCAGCAUGGCUCCUGAUAUGGUGUCGAGUCAAUAAAUGUUGCUUAGGUGGUCUCCUUUGCACCAGCCACACCCUCAAGGGGCCUCAGCCCGAAACCUGAUUCCUUUAUGCAGCUGCCAACCACCAGCUCAGCUUUCCAGACAGUGCUCAAAUAUCCCCUCUUUUUGGAAGCCCUCCCUGGAGUCCAGGCUGAGUAAGGCAGCUUCUCUUCUGUGUCCCCAUGGCACCCUUAUUUAUUGGCUUGUCAUGCUUAUUGCAAUUUGGAAUUUGGUCACCUCUCCCCUGUUACACCAGGCAGUCUCGGGAAUUCAGUGGUGCCUGGCCUUUAGGCAUCACCUGAUCAGUGUUUGUGGACUGCUGACAGAACAACAAGCAUGUAGGCCUGGCAGUCUGUCAGCUUGGAGAGAGAGAGGGCCAGGUGUAUGCAGUAUUCUUCAUAUCGAGCUUAAUAGGAAACGGCUGUAAGAAAUUAGAUGGCUAGGGUGGCUCAGUGGUAACAAACCCAGGUUCAAUCCCUGGCCCAGUUCAGUGGGUUAAGGAUCCCACAUUGCCGUGAGCUGUGGUAUGGAUCACAGAUGUGGCUUGGAUCCAGGGUUGCUGUGGCUGUGGCGUAGGCCAGCAGCAACAGCUCUGAUUCAACCCCUAGCCUGGGAACUUCCAUAUGCCACAACUGCAGCCCUAAAAAGCAAAAGAAAGAAGAAAAAAAAAUUAGGUGGCUAAUAAUUGACCCUUGACAGUGAUUAUGAUGCUGAUAAAAAUGAUGAAUGAUUGGUAAGAAGGGUAAAUAGUAAACUCUCUCACACAUAAAAAUUUAGAACCACAUCAUUUCACCUCUUGGGAAAAUGUUUAUAACACUCUUCACUUCAAUAUUUCGCCAUGAAACCUAGAAGUUUCUUAGGCAAUUUAUCUUUUCAAAUGCAUCUCAGGGAAUGACAAACAGUAGCCAGAAAGCUGCUCAAAGAGUUCGAGUAUGGCAGCUCAUGGUCAUAAAUCUCUGGGUAGGAUCCUGAUUCUGAAAAGAAACACGAGAAAAGACUGAAAUAAAUCUACCAAGGUGUUAAUCAUGGCAGCACCACUGGAGUUAGGGUGAUGUGUGAUAUUCUUUUCUUCUUUUUACUUUUCUCAAAUCUUUCAGAUUAUACCAUGUAUGUAAAUUCAUUUUACACACACAAAAAAACAAACCAAAACCGAAAACAGACAUAAUCAAAAACAUUUCUAGCAAUUAAUGAAGUUGCUAAGGAGGCAAUUUUAAAUCAUCUAUAAUGGGUGGACAUCUAUGACAUGAGAAUAUAAUUCCAAGAAGGCUAACCUGAGCUAUCAGUUCAUUUGAUAUGAAUUGGGUACUACAACCAAAGACUGUGCUUGGGGCGGGGCUUAAAGUGCAAACAUCAGGUAUACUUCCUACCCUCAGGCAGUUCACAGACUACUGCUAGCCACAAACUCAAGCCACUAAUGGGAGCCAGGCAGCAAAGAGAAAGGAAUGAAAUCCUCCAACAGGCCCUCCUCUAAUAUUUGCUAACAUUUGCUGGCCUUGGAAAAAGUUAAAUGGAAAUCCAUUUACCAGAUGGAUUUAAAACAAGUUAACAAAUCGA
rnacentral:lncRNA from 1 species